rnacentral:rRNA from 1 species
GACAGAGGAUGCAAGCGUUAUCCGGAAUGAUUGGGCGUAAAGCGUCUGUAGGUGGCUUUUUAAGUCUGCCGUCAAAUCCCAGGGCUCAACCCUGGACAGGCGGUGGAAACUACCAAGCUAGAGUACGGUAGGGGCAGAGGGAAUUUCCGGUGGAGCGGUGAAAUGCGUAGAGAUGUGGAGGAACACCAGUGGCGAAGGCGACUUUCUGGGCUGUAACUGACGCUGAGGCGCGAAAGCGUGGGGAGCAAACAGG